AUGGUAAGAUUUUUGGGACCACACGUGCCCCACCUACUACAUCACUUCCCCACCACUCAUUUUCAAUCCACCUUAUUCUAUCUUGGCCGGCUCAUCCAUUCCUUGCUCUCUUCUCUAUUUUCUUCUUUUCUCUCAAACACUCUUCUCUUCACUCUCAUUCUCUCCCACCGGUACCUCCUUGCCAUCAUCUCCACCAUCAUUUUUCCGGCAAUGUCACCGGAAAAUCCUUAGGAACCUCUUAGCAUCUUCAUCCUUUUUAUUUGGGGUUAAAGCUAAUCUCCUUGGAGCUUGGAGAAUUAGAAUUUUGCGGUUGCGAGUUUUUCAGAUUUAUUAGCUAUACCUUGGAUAUGGAGCUUACUUCUUUGGUGAUGAUUAGAGUGCCAUGUUAAAUUUGAAGACUUUUGCUGUAAAUGGUUGGUGAUUCGAUCUUGCUAUGUUCAACAAGACCUUAAUAAAUUCUAUUGAAGGUGGGUUGCUUGAGGUUUGUUAGCCUUUGGCAUGGUAGUCCUAGACUCGAUGUUAAGGCCCUUAUUCUUGAUAAGAUUGUGACUUUGUGUAAUUUAAUCCGAGUUUCGUAAUAUAUUCAUGUUCUAUGUGGAGGCAUAUGAUUUUUAGUUA